rnacentral:rRNA from 1 species
UGGGGAAUCUUCCGCAAUGGACGAAAGUCUGACGGAGCAACGCCGCGUGAGUGAAGAAGGUUUUCGGAUCGUAAAACUCUGUCUUUUGGGGCGAACGUGAGUAUGGUGAACAAUCAUAGUCAGUGACGGUACCAAAGGAGGAAGCCACGGCUAACUACGUGCCAGCAGCCGCGGUAAUACGUAGGUGGCAAGCGUUGUCCGGAAUUAUUGGGCGUAAAGAGCGCGUAGGCGGGAUAGUCAGUCUGUUGUAAAAGUGCGGGGCUCAACCCCGUGAUGGCAAUGGAAACAGCUAUUCUUGAGUGCAGGAGAGGAAAGUGGAAUUCCCAGUGUAGCGGUGAAAUGCGUAGAUAUUGGGAGGAACACCAGUGGCGAAGGCGACUUUCUGGACUGUGUCUGACGCUGAGGCGCGAAAGCCAGGGGAGCGAACGGGAUUAGAUACCCCGGUAGUCCUGGCCGUAAACGAUGGGUACUAGGUGUGGGAGGUAUCGACCCCUUCCGUGCCGGAGUUAACGCAAUAGUACCCGCCUGGGGAGUACGGUCGCAAGACUGAAACUCAAAUGAAUUGACGGGGUCAUAGCUGUUUCCUG